rnacentral:rRNA from 1 species
AGAGUUUGAUCAUGGCUCAGAUUGAACGCUGGCGGCAGGCCUAACACAUGCAAGUCGAGCGGUAGCACAGGAGAGCUUGCUCUCUGGGUGACAGCUGCGGACGGGUGAGUAAUGUCUGGGAAACUGCCUGAUGGAGGUGGAUAACUACUGGAAACGGUAGCUAAUACCGCAUAACGUCUUCGGACCAAAGUGGGGGACCUUCGGGCCUCACGCCAUCAGAUGUGCCCAGAUGGGAUUAGCUAGUAGGUGGGGUAAUGGCUCACCUAGGCGACGAUCCCUAGCUGGUCUGAGAGGAUGACCAGCCACACUGGAACUGAGACACGGUCCAGACUCCUACGGGACGCAGCAG